rnacentral:rRNA from 1 species
GACGAACGCUGGCGGCGUGCUUAACACAUGCAAGUCGAACGGUGAAGCUCCAGCUUGCUGGAGUGGAUCAGUUGCGAACGGGUGAGUUACACGUGAGCAACCUGCCCCUGACUCUGGAAUAAGCGCAGGAAACGGCGUCUAAUACUGGAUACGAGAAGGGUCCGCAUGGGCACUUUCUGGCAUGUUUUUCGGUUGUGGAUGUGCUCGCGGCCUAUCAGCUUGUUGGUGAGGUAAUUGCUCACCAAGGCGACGACGGGUAGCCGGCCUGAGAGGGCGACCGGCCACACUGGGACUGAGACACGGCGCAGACGCCAACGGGAGGCAGCAGUGGGGAAUAUUGCACAGUGGGCGAAAGCCUGAUGCAGCGACGCCGCGUGAGGGAUGACGGCCUUCGGGUUGUAAACCUCGUUCAGCAGGGAAGAAGCGAAAGUGACGGUACCUGCAGAAGAAGCACCGGCUAACUACGUG